rnacentral:rRNA from 1 species
UACGUAGGGGGCAAGCGUUGUCCGGAUUUAUUGGGCGUAAAGAGCGUGUAGGCGGCUAGAUAAGUCCGGUGUGAAAGUCACAGGCUCAACCUGUGAAUGCCGCUGGAAACUGUCUGGCUAGAGUCCGGAAGGGGCGAGUGGAAUUCCUGGUGUAGCGGUGAAAUGCGCAGAUAUCAGGAGGAACACCAAUGGCGAAGGCAGCUCGCUGGGACGGUACUGACGCUGAGGCGCGAAAGCGUGGGGAGCAAACAGG